rnacentral:rRNA from 1 species
UACGUAGGGUGCAAGCGUUAAUCGGAAUUACUGGGCGUAAAGCGUGCGCAGGCGGUUAUGUAAGACAGGUGUGAAAUCCCCGGGCUUAACCUGGGAACUGCACUUGUGACUGCAUAGCUUGAGUGCGGCAGAGGGGGAUGGAAUUCUGCGUGUAGCAGUGAAAUGCGUAGAUAUGCGGAGGAACACCGAUGGCGAAGGCAAUCCCCUGGGCCCGCACUGACGCUCAUGCACGAAAGCGUGGGGAGCAAACAGG